GAAUAUUCCGGCAUUCCAGCAACCAUUUGGUAAGAGUAGGUCUCAUCACAGCAAGAGAACUCUGCUGACCAAGACACCAUCACUCCACAGCUUCCGGGGAGGGCUUUCCCUGGUGGAAGAGACAUGUUCACAUCCAUGAGCAUGGAGGCAAGAGAAAGAAAGGACAAUUUUUCCCUGAUUGUCUUAGUCUGGGCUCAGCUUCCAUGACACUGAGCUGGCCCUGACUCUCUCUGGGCCUUCGUGGCCCAAACCGCAACAUGGGCCCUUGCUCUCUCGACUUCAUGGGGCUACGGUCAGAGCGCCUUCUGGGGAGGAAGGCGGCGGCCUCCCAGCUCCGGUCUCCUUAAGUGCACCCUGGGAAGUCUUCACACUGCCUUUCUUUUCCCCCGGUGGUCUAAUCUGGAGUCAGAUCCAGCCGCUGGCUCCUACAGCCGGGGAAGGACUGCGAGCCAACAGGAAAACAACAGUUACCCUUAUCACGCUGACCCGGAGGACCUCUGUGCGUGACAUUCCAUGUCCCUGCCUCAAAUUCUGCAAACGUGCUUUUAGGUGUUGAUGGGACAGGCUCUCCGGUUGUUCUUAAAAAAAGAUGUUACUUCUCUCCUUUACACCGCUUUCCACAAGGAUGACUUGAAAUUUCUUUUAAAGAAGAGUUCUUUCAGGAU
rnacentral:lncRNA from 1 species